rnacentral:rRNA from 1 species
CGCGUAGGCGGCUUCUUAAGUCAGAUGUGAAAGCCCGGGGCUUAACCCCGGAAGUGCAUUUGAAACUAAGGGGCUUGAGUAUGGGAGAGGGAAGUGGAAUUCCUGGUGUAGAGGUGAAAUUCGUAGAUAUCAGGAGGAACACCGGUGGCGAAGGCGACUUCCUGGACCAAUACUGACGCUGAGGCGCGAAGGCGUGGGGAGCAAACAGGAUUAGAUACCCUGGUAGUCC